GACGAACGCUGGCGGCGUGCUUAACACAUGCAAGUCGAACGGAAAGGCCCUGCUUUUGUGGGGUGCUCGAGUGGCGAACGGGUGAGUAACACGUGAGUAACCUGCCCUUGACUUUGGGAUAACUUCAGGAAACUGGGGCUAAUACCGGAUAGGAGCUCCUGCUGCAUGGUGGGGGUUGGAAAGUUUCGGCGGUUGGGGAUGGACUCGCGGCUUAUCAGCUUGUUGGUGGGGUAGUGGCUUACCAAGGCUUUGACGGGUAGCCGGCCUGAGAGGGUGACCGGCCACAUUGGGACUGAGAUACGGCCCAGACUCCUACGGGAGGCAGCAGUGGAGAAUAUUACACAAUGGGAGGGAGCCUGGUGCGGCAACGCCGCGUGCGGGAUGACGGCCUUCGGGUUGUAAACCGCUUUCGCCUGUGACGAAGCGUGAGUGACGGUAAUGGGUAAAGAAGCACCGGCUAACUACGUG
rnacentral:rRNA from 1 species